rnacentral:sRNA from 1 species
UUUUCAACUACCAUUCUUAAAUUUACAAUAAUUUCAAGUACUUGAGGUGGAGACGACUCAUAACGAAACAUGUAUGACUGUAUGAGUAUGACAUUGGAAACUAUUGGUCACAAGAGCCAUUUUCCACUUCUUCCCUUUUCGAGAGCCGCUAAACAGAAGAAGAAACAACAGUUUGCAAAACUAUAGUCAAUAGUGUUUCACUCGGUUAGUAUCAGUUGGUUGUAGGAACAUACCAAAGCGGAAUGAAGUUAAACCGAUCAAACCCGAGGGGAUACGUCAAUCAGAAAAGAUCACAAGUCCGGUCCAACCUUUGUGGUCGCCAACACAUUCUAUUCAUCACUAGCCGACUUCUUCUAAGUUCUGACAAUAGAAAACCCUUUUAAAUUCUACAAAUAAACCUAAACUAAUCCACGUACAACAUAUUACAAUGUGGGGCAUCAUCAUUCAUCGUCAAGUUUACGCAGUUUUAGCUUUUCGAUGAGUUUCAUUUUUUUAAACUUAAAACAUCAAACUUUGUUUAAUAAAUUCAAAGAAGAUUUCUUGAAUUAAUU